GACAGAGGGGGCAAGCGUUGCUCGGAAUCACUGGGCGUAAAGGGCGCGUAGGCGGCCUGCUAAGUCGAACGUGAAAUCCCUGGGCUCAACCCAGGAACUGCGUCCGAUACUGGUUGGCUUGAAUCCGGGAGAGGGAUGUGGAAUUCCAGGUGUAGCGGUGAAAUGCGUAGAUAUCUGGAGGAACACCGGUGGCGAAGGCGGGACUCUGGGCCGAUACUGACGCUGAGGAGCGAAAGCGUGGGGAGCAAACAGG
rnacentral:rRNA from 1 species